CCAGACUCCUACGGGAGGCAGCAGUGGGGGAUAUUGGACAAUGGGGGGAACCCUGAUCCAGCGACGCCGCGUGAGUGAAGAAGUAUCUCGGUAUGUAAAGCUCUAUCAGCAGGGAAGAAAGAAAUGACGGUACCUGAGUAAGAAGCCCCGGCUAACUACGUGCCAGCAGCCGCGGUAAUACGUAGGGGGCAAGCGUUAUCCGGAUUUACUGGGUGUAAAGGGAGCGUAGACGGCGAUGCAAGUCUGAAGUGAAAGGCGGGGGCCCAACCCCUGGACUGCUUUGGAAACUGUAUGGCUGGAGUGCAGGAGAGGUAAGCGGAAUUCCUGGUGUAGCGGUGAAAUGCGUAUAUAUCAGGAGGAACACCGGCGGCGAAGGCGGCUUACUGGACUGUAACUGACGUUGAGGCUCGAAGGCGUGGGGCGCACACAGGAUUAGAUACCCGCGUAC
rnacentral:rRNA from 1 species